GACGAACGCUGGCGGCGUGCUUAACACAUGCAAGUCGAACGGAAAGGCCCUGCUUUUGUGGGGUGCUCGAGUGGCGAACGGGUGAGUAACACGUGAGUAACCUGCCCUUGACUUUGGGAUAACUUCAGGAAACUGGGGCUAAUACCGGAUAGGAGCUCCUGCUGCAUGGUGGGGGGUGGAAAGUUUCGGCGGUUGGGGAUGGACUCGCGGCUUAUCAGCUUGUUGGUGGGGUAGUGGCUUACCAAGGCUUUGACGGGUAGCCGGCCUGAGAGGGUGACCGGCCACAUUGGGACUGAGAUACGGCCCAGACUCGUACGGGAGGCAGCAGUGGGGAAUAUUGCACAAUGGGCGGAAGCCUGAUGCAGCAACGCCGCGUGCGGGAUGACGGCCUUCGGGUUGUAAACCGCUUUCGCCUGUGACGAAGCGUGAGUGACGGUAAUGGGUAAAGAAGCACCGGCUAACUACGUG
rnacentral:rRNA from 1 species